UCCGUCCGGGCCAAGUUUUCCAGACACUUGGGCAACUUCCUCGUCCCCGGGGUGAUUUGUCAGCUCCAGUGAGUAACUUGGAAGUGUCGCUCGGGGCAAGGGACGGGAGCUGUGAGCACUACAGAGUGCCCGAGACCGAGACAUUCUCCAAACAGUGCUGACAUUCUGUCGGCCCCAGAGAAGUGUAAACGCGGAGUGACGAAGCCGAAGCCGGCGGGGAGUGCGAGCGUCUGGGUACGUCUGCGCAUUCUGCGGCGUGGGAGGUGAAAGUUAUAGACCUGGCGGCUGCGAGUGGCGGGACCGUCCCAGCGACACGUUCAAGGACCCCCAACCGAAGGGCCUCCUGGAGCAGUGGGGACCUGGUCUCGGGCGAGGUGCGAGCGUGCAAAAAAAAAAAAAAAAAAAAAAAAAACCGCCCUUGGUGGAGCUUCACAAACACGUGGGAGCUGGAAAAGGCAGCUUCAGCCCCGUGUGUGUGCGCGCGCGGGACCUCACGUCACCCCACCAACUCUCACUUCUCCAAAGUUUCCCUUCAGUGGGGACUCCUGGGUGGCGUGCAGGACCACAGCCGCGCGUCCUGUAACUUGCCUUCAUUGUGUGGCCCUCUGGCCCCUGCUGUUCAAAAGAAAAACCAAAAACAAAAUCUCCUCCUAAUUAAAGAAACUUUAAUACCUUGUGGA